GACGAACGCUGGCGGCGUGCUUAACACAUGCAAGUCGAGCGGAGCGGCGAACGGGUGAGUAACGCGUAAUCAACCUGCCCUUCCGAGGGGGACAACAGUUGGAAACGACUGCUAAUACCGCAUACUGAAGGAGGGGAUUGCGUCUGAUUUGCUAGUUGGCGGGGUAACGGCCCACCAAGGCGAUGAUCAGUAGCCGGUCUGAGAGGAUGAACGGCCACAUUGGGACUGAGACAAGGCCCAGAAUCCUACGGGAGGCAGCAGUGGGGAAUCUUCCGCAAUGGACGAAAGUCUGACGGAGCAACGCCGCGUGAGUGAUGACGGCCUUCGGGUUGUAAAGCUCUGUUAAUCGGGACGCGGUACCGGAAUAGAAAGCCACGGCUAACUACGUGCCAGCCGCCGCGGUAAUUC
rnacentral:rRNA from 1 species